UGAGGAAACAGGAGCCAAGCCUGGAAAUGAAAAUGUCCUUGUAAAUGACCAAGAGAAGAUAGGAAUUAAAAUACACAGCUGUUAUAGUGCCAGAAAAUUGUCUGCCCUCUUUGAACAAACUGUGGGAGCAUUCGGAGGUGUGUUCACCAGGGGACUCGAGCUUCAGGGUUGAUGAUGAAGAAGAAGAAGGUGAUGAUGGCAAUUACCUUUGGUUAAGCACUUAUGAUGGCCCCCAAACUGUACUAACGGCUUCAGAUGAGGAAACUGCAGCCUCAGAAUUAUGAAGCAGCUUGCCCAAGGACGCUGUGUGUUAAGGGAGGAAACUGGAGGUGUUUGCCCUGAACAACAUGUCACAUCCCUCACUGCGUGGACGGCACGACCUGCCGGACAGGAGGCCUAGGAAACAACAACAAAAAUUUAAAAGACAGGUUUUAAGAACUCUGACGGAGAAAAGCCAUUCCCAGUAGAAACUCUACUAAACUGCGACUUGACUUUGGACCUGAUACAGCCAAAAAGUAAUCUUUUAAAAUAUUCUAAGCAGGAGCUCGGAAAAUAGAACAUUUCAAACUUCAGCUCAGAAGAGUAUGAUUAACUCUGAGCGGAUGUGGUGGCUCUAGCCACGUAAUUUUAGGCGUUCUAAUUGGCAGUUUAAAAAUAGCCAAGUCGCAGCCUGUUCCUUUGUUUCGCAGUGACUGUGCAUUGUAUUCCAGGAGUCUUCAGGUUGCUUGGGCUGGCCUGGGAACGGCUCUUAAUCUACUGUCUCCUGGUUCUGCCGAACUGACUGUCCUGAAAUACCACAAGAGGAAUAAAAAUGUGUGUUUUCUUAGGAUUACUCCUAGCUUCCGGCUCACAGACAUAUUCUCCUUCCUUCUCUAAUAACUAGGUGCUUAAAGGAUGUGCUUCGAUGAUGAUUUUCAAUUGAAUCUAUUUCUGCAGACCUGAAGCUGCCAGCUGAGCUGUGUCAUUUGCUUGCCAGGUAAUAAGUACUACAGGAUGCCGCCAAGAAAAGGAGAACACUGAUUUCAAAUGACCAAUUAUUUACCAAAUUCUUCCCCAUAUCUGUGUCAGGCAAUGUCCAUGAACUGAAACAAAUGUUUGCUUCUCUUUGCUACUGUUUCGAUUGGCAGCAAGGUAACACAUCAAUGUGGAAACCCACAGAGGAGCUACAUGUUCCCCUUUAGCAUUUCUAAGGAGCCCUGAGAGUCCCUCCCAUCUGGUCAGGCAUAAAGUCGCUUAUCUUUACCUAA